rnacentral:misc_RNA from 1 species
ACUGGACUCCUGCAAGUCCUUUUCAACCCUGUCCCAUUUGGCUGAACCAAAGUCCAAUGUGACUUCAAGGAAUUUCUGUUUGAAAACUACUCGAGUUAAUAGUCCUUGGCAAUUUUCUGGAGGAAGCCCAAAUUCAAAAAACUCUUUGCAUACAGAUUUGAACUUGACUCCGUUGUCUGUUGGCUCUGCCAAUGGAUGUAUUGUUUCUCUCUCUGCAAGUGAG